rnacentral:tRNA from 1 species
CAAAAACAGUUAUGGUUAAUAUUAACUUUGGAAGUUAAAGAGUAGUGAACACUAUUUUUGA